AGACGCUACGGACUUAAAAUCCGUCGAAUUGAAAAAUCGUGAGGGUUCAAGUCCCUCUAUCCCCA
rnacentral:tRNA from 9 species